CCAAAUACUAAUUGAGUGUAUGUAAACUUCUGACCCACUGAGAAUGCGAUGAAAUAAAUAAAAGCUGAAAUAAAUCAUUCUCUCUACUAUUAUUCUGACAUUUCACAUUCUUAAAAUAAAGUAGUGAUCCUAACUGACCAAAAACAGGGAAUUUUUACUAGGAUUCAAUGUCAAGAAUUGUGAAAAUCUGAGUUAGAAUGUAUUUGGCUAAGGUGUGUGUAAACUUCCCACUUCAACUGUAUUCGUAGCUACAUCCAUUGUAACAAGAAAUAGAUGACAGUGGUCAUGUUAACUUGACUGAUUGGUGGAGCACUCUGCUACAGUUGGCUCCAUAGUUCAAUGGUUGUGAGUUCUAAUCCCAACUGGGGAAGAUAGAUGUUUUUUCUUCAAAUCCUUUAUUUCAUAUAUUCAUCCCGUGACCACACACACACACUUCUAAUUCUGAAAAGUGAAAGCAUACCUGUGAGAGGGGUCGCCCUGGUAGUAGUUGUAGGUUUUCAUACAGUACCCAAGACCAGUCUGUGUUAAUUUGACCAUUGGAAAAAAGAGAUACUGCGUAAAUACUGCAAUGUGGUUUGGAUUGAGUUGAGCCCCUUCAUUUACAAGGUGAUGACUGCCCUUUCCUCCCAACAAAGUAAAUAUGAGUCCACAUUUCAACUAUCCCCCCCCCCAAUAAGGGAUUUGAACUUACACUGCAAGUGGCAAUAGAUGUCAGGAAGUCAGCACAUAACAACUGUGAGUUAACUUUCCAGGGUCGUAUUUGCUCGCAAUGCACAUUAUUUAAUUAUCACAGCGUAUCAGUGGACUUCUGGUCAGUGAGAGAGUGUUGGGAUCAGAUACAACUACAUUUACCCGCCCCCAAAAUGAAUAUUUAUGAGCAAGUCCCCCCCCAGUGAGAGAGUGUUGGGAUCAGAUACAACUACAUUAACCCACCCCCAAAAUGAAUAUUUAUGAGCAAGUCCCCCCCCACAUCCACAACUUCUCACCUGAAUGCAUUGUUUUCUUAACAAUGUCAAGGGGUUGGACAAAGGCUGAAAUUGGGGUUGAGACAUAUCCUUUAAAAAGACAAACGUAACUCCACCUAAGAGAGUAGCGUUUUACUAUAACCAGGUUUCUAAACUCUGAUGCACAAGUGUUUCAUUACGUUGAAAUGAGAGGCGUUAGCCUGGUCCCAGACGUCCUGGCAAAAUGGCACAAACAGAUCUGAGACCAGGCUGGUGAGGAAGAACAUUACACAUGAUUAGUGACAUGUAGCUAAGUGAUAUAUACAGUAUUCAUCAUAUUUAACAGGACAAUCCUCUUUUCAGAGGCUGAAGGCACUAAAACAGGUCCACGGCGUCCAUCUUGUUUUUCAGUUUUUUUCAGAGGAAAAUUCCUAGAACGAGCGAAUCCCAGGAGCCAAUACUGGAGAGUGUAGCCUACUAGUACCACAGGAAGACCAAAACAUCAGAACAAAACAACAAGGACAGACUGGGGAACGGUCCAUCUAGUCUACUAGUAUCCUGUUCAUUCCUUUGUCCCAGAAUUCCUUCAACCGGACUUCGAA
rnacentral:lncRNA from 13 species